rnacentral:rRNA from 1 species
UACGUAGGGGGCAAGCGUUGUCCGGAAUCAUUGGGCGUAAAGAGCGCGUAGGCGGCCCAGUAAGUCCGCUCUGAAAGUCAGGGGCUCAACCCCUGAAUGCGGGUGGAUACUGCUGGGCUAGAGCCCGGAAGAGGCGAGUGGAAUUCCUGGUGUAGCGGUGAAAUGCGCAGAUAUCAGGAGGAACACCGAUGGCGAAGGCAGCUCGCUGGGACGGUACUGACGCUGAGGCGCGAAAGCAUGGGGAGCGAACAGG